rnacentral:misc_RNA from 1 species
AUCAGUAACUGAGUUCACCGAUAAGCUGUUAAUGUCAGCAUUUGGCACUGAAGUCCCAGAACUGACGCAACUUGAAGCAUCAACUAUUCCAAGUUCAUCCGGAAGUUGGGUGACGGUUGCAUCAGACGCCACGGUAAAAUUACGCUUGUGGUCAGAGGCUACAGAGGGUUGUGAUCCAGGAAACCUGUUAACUGUAAAUGUCGGAUCAGAAGAUGAUGCAUGACUGAAAUGAGAAGGAAGAAUGCCUUCCGCCUGCUGCUGCUGCAUAGGCAUGGACAGAG